CCCUUUUAUUUGGCAAGUCAGUAC
rnacentral:siRNA from 1 species